AUGGGCUCUCGCCGUCGUCCUCCUACCACCCUAGUCUUCCUGGUGUUGCUGCUAUGCCUCUUCUAUGCGCCGCGCUGGGUACUCUCGCUGUCCUUCAACCUCAACUUCUCCGACCCCAGCGCCGGUUCAUCCAUGGACCUCGCCGGCGAUGCAUCCAUCAGUUCGUCACGGCUGGAGCUGACAAAAAGUGAACGCAAUACAAAGAUUCAGGACAGCGUCGGCCGGGCGUCCUACACGCACAAGGUGCCGCUAUGGAGCAAAGCCACCGGCGAGAUGGCUAGCUUCACCACCACCUUCUCCUUCCUUAUUACUCCCGACAAGGACAGCCUGCCGGAUACAGGCGAUGGGAUGGCCUUCUUCCUCGGCCAUUUCCCUUCGGUGCUCCCGCUAAACAGCACGGGCGGCAGCCUCGGCCUCCUCCCGUACUUGACUAACGGGACAGGCGACAGCCGGAUCGUCGCCGUCGAAUUCGACACUUUCCGCAACGAGCAAUAUGCCGAUAUCAACAGGAACCAUAUCGGCAUCAACGUCAACUCCCUCAACUCAACGGCGUUCACGGACACGACCACCUGGCUGGGAAAGAACCUCACAUCGCUGAGUGUUAUUAUGAAAGCCACGGUGAAGUACCAGAAUGACUCCAAGAGGCUGGGUGUUGAUCUCCUCAUCGACGAUGCCCUGUACCAUGUAAACGCUACCGUCGAUCUCAGCAGAUACUUACCGGAGGAGGUCGCCGUGGGCUUCUCCGCGGCUACAGGCGACGUCGCCGAGCUGCAUCGGAUACUGUCAUGGUCCUUCAAUUCCACGCUUGAAUCAAAGAAGGAAGCAGCUCCACCUGCCGAACCUCCUCUUCCAAUUCCAGCCAGCAGUAACAACCACAAAAAAUUGGUACCAAUCCUACCAGCCAUCUUAGUUACUCUGCUUUUUCUGUUGGUCUGUGCGGCAGCGGUGCUGGGAUGGCGGCGACACAAGAAAAGAAGAGCAAAUGAUGACAGCGAAGAAGACUGUGACGACAGAGCUGAUCUCGAGAGAGGUGUGGCGGCCGUCGGACCCAGACGGUAUAUGCACCACGAGCUUGUGACCGCAACGAGCAAUUUCGCGGAGGACGAGAAGCUUGGGCGAGGCGGUUUCGGGAGCGUUUACCGGGGUCAUCUCACAGUCACACUCGCAGGUGCAGUCGGUGGUGACCAAGACUGUCGUGCGGUGGCGGUGAAGGUGCUGUCUGCAGACUCGUCGUCCCAAGGGAGAAAGGAGUUCGAGGCAGAGGUGAGGAUCAUCAGCAGACUGAAGCAUCGCAACCUUGUGAAGCUGCUGGGCUGGUGCGACAGCCGCAAGAGGCUCCUGCUUGUCUACGAGCUUGUCACGGAGGGCAGCCUAGAUAGGCACCUCUACAGCAACGACGGCAGCUAUCUGACAUGGCCACAGAGGUACAACAUCAUCCUUGGCUUGGGAUCCGCGCUGCACUACCUUCACGGAGAGUGGGAGCAGUGCAUUGUCCACGGUGACAUUAAGCCCAGCAACAUCAUGCUCGACUCGUCGCUCAGCACCAAGCUCGGGGACUUCGGGUUGGCCAGGCUUAUCGACCACGGCGCUGGGUCAGGGCAUACCACCAAGGCCGUGCUCGGCACCGUCGGCUACAUCGACCCUGAGCUCGUCAACACACGCCGGCCGUGCACCGAAUCAGACGUGUACAGCUUCGGUGUCGUCCUCUUGGAGAUCGCCUCUGGCCGACGACCGGUGAUCGAGACCUCUGAGAGAUCCUUCACGCUGCUCAGCUGGGUGUGGAACCUGUACGGCAGGGAUGCGAUCCUUGACGCGGCCGACGAGCGGUUGAAGGGCGGCGUGGCGGCGAGCGGUGGAUGGAGCGGGUACUCGUCGUCGGGCUCUGGUGCGCGCACCCAGACCGGAGCGAGCGGCCAUCCGUGGCACAGGCCAUGCACGUCCUGCAGUCCUACGAGGCGAGGCUACCGGCGCUCCUGA
rnacentral:rRNA from 1 species